AGGUUUUGGGACUCGGACUGGCUUCCUGGAUCCUCAGUUUGCAGACAGUCUACUGGGGACUUCACCUUGUGAUCACGGGCUCCCUCUGUUACCCAGGCUGGAGCACAGUGGUGUGAUUAUUGCUCACUGCAUCAUCAAACUCCUAGGCUCAAGCAGUCCUCCUGCCUCAGCCUCCCAAGUAACUAGGACUAUAGACAAAAGAUACACAGUAUCUACAACCCAACAAAACCACAAACCUACAACCCAG